GACGAACGCUGGCGGCGUGCUUAACACAUGCAAGUCGAACGGAAAGGCCCUGCUUUUGUGGGGUGCUCGAGUGGCGAACGGGUGAGUAACACGUGAGUAACCUGCCCUUGACUUUGGGAUAACUUCAGGAAACUGGGGCUAAUACCGGAUAGGAGCUCCUGCUGCAUGGUGGGGGUUGGAAAGUUUCGGCGGUUGGGGAUGGACUCGCGGCUUAUCAGCUUGUUGGUGGGGUAGUGGCUUACCAAGGCUUUGACGGGUAGCCGGCCUGAGAGGGUGACCGGCCACAUUGGGACUGAGAUACGGCCCAGACUCCUACGGGAGGCAACAGUGGGGAAUAUUGCACAAUGGGCGGAAGCCUGAUGCAGCAACGCCGCGUGCGGGAUGACGGCCUUCGGGUUGUAAACCGCUUUCGCCUGUGACGAAGCGUGAGUGACGGUAAUGGGUAAAGAAGCAGCGGCUAACUACGU
rnacentral:rRNA from 1 species